AGGGACCUGUGUGACAACAACAAAGGUCUAACACUCUGUCAUCAGAGUUCCAGAAGGAGGAGAGAGUGGAGCGCCGAACAAUAUCAAGAAUAAUUUCUGAAAGCAUCCCAAAUAUGAUUCAAAACAUUAACUUACAGACCCAAGAGCUCAGCAAACUGCAAGCUAAAAAAUCCAAGGAAAUCAAUGCCCAGAGACAUCAUCAACUGCUGAAAAUUAGAGACAAUGAACAAACCUUAAAGCAGCUAGAAACCACAACAGAUCAUGCAUAGGGGAAUAUUCAUUCGCAUGCAGAUUUUUCAAGGAGGCCAGAAAGAAGUGGAAAAAUAUUUGUAAAGUGCUAAAUCACUGUCAACCCAAAAAUCUAUAUCCAGCAAAAGUAUAUUCAGGACUGAAGAUAAAGUGAGAACAUUAUCACAUGGAGAAAAACCAAGAGAAGUCAUAGCCAGUAUACCUGUUCUAAAGAAAUGUUAAAGGAAGAUCUUUAUACAAAAGGAAAAUGAUACCAGAGGGAAACUUCGAACUUCAGAAAUGAAGGAAGAGCAACAGAAAUAGUAAGAAGCUGGCCUAUGGAAUGUGAAGAUGAUGAGGAUGAAGACCUUUAUCACAAUCCACUUCCAGUGAACAAAUAGUACCUUGUGGAUCAGAAACAGCUGGUAUCUCCUCCCUCAGAAACUCAGAGAACUUAAGCGACUUGCCUCAGAGCAAGUCCUUGCCCAGAGGCACCCAGCUGGAUCCUCCAGGCUAUGCAGCAACAGAUAGACCAUACUCCUGGGAAUGGCCAAGAUCAAACUCGAGAGACUUACGGUCCUGAAUAACUGAACAAGAAUCUCCAGCUUGUGGGGACCACAGACUGACUGGUGAAAGCAGUGGAGAGGUUUGGGAUGAAAACAGGAUAACAAGAAAACCUGUGUGGUGAGCAGGGAGUGACUCAGCACCCUGCUUCAUUCUUUCCCAGUAUAAUCCUGUAUCUCCUCAAUAAGUGACUGGAGGAUACCGCUCUGGAGAAACUGACCCACCUCAGAGAAGAGACCUCUAAACGUUGACUUAUAAAAUAAGCAAUUUCUCUUUUAAAAUCACUUGACAGGAAAGCACACCAGCCGAUUAGCUCCACUCGUGCCCAUAUAAUAUCUAAACAGAUAUUUGGUCUCUUACUCUGAAAUAAAUAUGAAAUUCACCCAAAGAUUGCUAGGCAUUUAGGAAAAACCUUCAACACACUAAAAUGACCAAAAUAAACAAAUAGGGAAAAAAACUAAGAAAGAGAAAAUGUAAAGAAGAAAACUUCAAAAUAACUAAAAUUAAUAACCUGAAGAAGAAAAAGGAAGACACUGAAAUCAUCAAAUAAGAACAGUAUGCUAUUAAAGAAAACAAAACAGGAAACUUCCAAUUCUGGACAAGAUGGCAUAGACACACUUCUCCCUGUUUGUUUCAUUAAGCACAGCUAAAAACCUAAGACAUUAUAUAAAAAACAAAGAUAUGAAAACAAAGACAUCUGAAUGGUGGAGAGAAGAAGGUAGACCAGCUAGGGAUCAUAAAAUACAACAAGGAAUGACACACCAGGGAGUUCCCUAGGUUUUCUUUUGCCGCAUAUAUACCACUCAUACAUGCUUCCUAUAUGGAUGCUGAACAAUCUUGCUGGAGCUGUCACUAGGUCCAGACAGAAAAGUUCCAACAGAAGCCUGCAUUCUCUAGCUAAAGGACCAGCCUAGCAAGACAGAAAACUUUUAGACAAAUGCUCUACUCAAGCCAAACAUUAGGUAAAAACCAUGCAACAUACCCCUGUCUCCCUCACACCCCAGCAAAGCCUGAGUGAAGAACUCCCAACCUCACCUGUCGUGGGUCACAUAUGUCCCCGAGCCAAGUGGUGUGACAGAAGGCUGAUGGGAAAGCCUGAACUUUCUUCCCCUGCCAGUGUCAGUGAGGCCCUCCGCCAUGGUGUCUGUGAAGACAAUGUGUGAAGCCAGUCUUCCAUCCUCUACCUGGUGUCAGUGAGGCAUUCCUCCCCUGCCCUGUUGGAGUAAUGUAGGAGAAGGCCAGUUAAAGAACCAGCACCUUCACCACCAGCUAGCAUUCGCAAGGGCUCCUGAUCCCACUGACAGAGCAGGAAUAUCAUCAUCUUGGACAAGCAUCGCCAUUCUAAAGUCCACCUUGAUCAAAAACUGCCUAAAAUCUAAAGGGCAUCAGCCUAAUGGCUAAGAUCAGCAUGACCAUAAACUACAAAUAACGUCUCUGACCAGAAACAUUCCAAAUCCCUCCCCAACCAGAGACAUGCCAACCCCAAGAUACCCUCUCCUCCAGCCAGAGAGAUGUCAGCCCCAAGAUAACCUCCCCUCCAACCAGAGACAUUCCAACCCCACCAUAAACUUCUCCCCGCAACAGAAAUAUUCCAAGCCUGUAAUAAGCUCUCUCACCAAUACAUACUCUUAAUCUGUAAGAGAGUGCUCCUGACCAAAAAUCAGCCAGAAGCCCCUCUCAGAUUUAUUUGCCAAAAUAAAUCUGUCUUUGACUGUUGAGCCACUUUUUGUGUUGUGUUUCUUUCCUCUUUCUUUAACUCUUACACCAUGCUAUUGGUGCAAGCUUGGUGUAAAAUCUUAACUCUCAUCCCCACCCAUUAGUAAAUGAAACACCCACCCUUGCAUAAAGUGUCAAUAGAGGCCAAUAAAGGAAUGUAGCGUUUCACCCAAACCUGGCCGUAAUGAGGUAGUGCCCACCUUACCACAUCAGAGUGGAGUCAGAGAUGGUUUUCCAAAACAAGAUUUAAAUAAGAUACAAAGAGUCAAAAUGCACUCCCCAAAAUACCCAGAAUAAAAUAGAAACUCAUUAAUCAUAACAAGAACAGGGAAAAUCUCAACUUGAAUAAAAAAGAGAGUCAACAGACACCAGCACUGAGAAGACACAAGGUGCAGGAAUUAUCAAACAAAGAUUUUAAAGCAGGUAUCAUAAAAAUGCUUCAACAAGCAAUACAAACACUCUUGAAACAAAUGAAAAAUAGAACAGCUCAGAAAAUGGGAAAUCUUAGCAAAGAAAUAUAAUAUAUAAAGAAUAUCUAAGUGGAAAUUACAGAAUUGAAAAAUAUAACUGAAAUAAAAAGUUCAGUGGAUGGGCUUACAGGAGAAUGGAGAGGAUAAGAGGAUCAGUGAAAACCAGUAGAUGGAAGAAACAGAAUUAUACAAUCUGAACAACAGAAAGAAAACAGACUGAAGAAAGAAAGAAAACCAAACAUAGCAUCAUAGACCUGUGAGACUGCAAAGAAAGAUCAAACACUAGAUACUUGGAAUCCAAAAGAGAGAGGAGAAAGUGGGUUGGGGUAAAAAAGUAUUUAAAGAAAUGAUGCUCAGAAUUUCCUAAAUUUGGUCAAAGAUAUAAACCCAUAGAUUUAAGAAGCUGUGCAAAGUCCACAUAGUAUAAAUCCAAAGAAAUCCACAUAGAGAAGAAGCAUAAGCAAACUUCUGAAAUCUAAGGACAAAUAAAAAUUAUUGAGAGCAGUGAGAGGGAAAAAAGACACCUUCCUUAUAAGAGAAAAACACUUUAAAAGGCAUCAGACACCUGAAGGCCAGAAAGAAGUGACAUAAAACUUUUCAAGUGUCACUUUUCAAGAAAAUAACUAUUAACUUAGAAUCUUUUAUCCAGUGAACAUAUUCUUCAGUAAUGAAGAGAAAAUUGAGACCUUCUCAAAGAAAGGAAGAAUGAGAGAAUUUAUUGCCUACAGAGCUACCCUUAAAGAAUGGCUAAAGGAAGUUCUUGCAUUAAUUUUUAAAUAAACUGUGAGAUUUAG